rnacentral:rRNA from 1 species
CUACGGGGGGCACCAGUGAGGAAUAUUGGUCAAUGGGCGCAAGCCUGAACCAGCCAUGCCGCGUGAAGGAUGACGGCCCUAUGGGUUGUAAACUUCUUUUAUACGGGAAGAAACGCCUCUACGUGUAGAGGUUUGACGGUACCGUACGAAUAAGCAUCGGCUAACUCCGUGCCAGCAGCCGCGGUAAUACGGAGGAUGCAAGCGUUAUCCGGAUUUAUUGGGUUUAAAGGGUACGUAGGCGGAAGAUUAAGUCAGUAGUGAAAUCCUGCAGCUUAACUGUAGAACUGUUAUUGAUACUGGUUUUCUUGAAUGUAGCUGAGGUAGGCGGAAUAAGUAAUGUAGCGGUGAAAUGCUUAGAUAUUACUUAGAACACCGAUUGCGAAGGCAGCUUACUAAGCUAUGAUUGACGCUGAGGUACGAAAGCGUGGGGAGCGAACAGGAUUAGAUACCCUGGUAGUC